GCCUCUUGCUGUGAAGACAGAGUGCAUUGCUGUCCCCACGGGGCCUCCUGUGACCUGGUUCACACGCGAUGCAUUUCACCCACGGGCACCCACCCCUUACUAAAGAAAUUCCCCGCACAAAGGACCAACAGGGCAGUGGCUUUCCCUUUUUCCGUGGUGUGCCCUGAUGCUAAGACCCAGUGCCCUGAUGACUCUACCUGCUGUGAGCUACCCACUGGGAAGUAUGGCUGUUGUCCAAUGCCCAACGUGAGUGAAUGGCUGGAUUCCCCUGGAUCUGGACAAGGGGGCUCCAGGCACUCGGUUGAUCUGAGAGCCUUAAGGCUCGUGCUGCCCCCUAGUGGCCGAUUGGAGCAGUGCAUGCUAUCAGCUUGGCUUGCUCCCUAUGCUCGCCAGAGUUCAGAGACUUCUACUUGUCCCAACCUAGGCCAUCUGCUGUUCCGACCACCUGCACUGCUGCCCCCAGGACACUGUAUGUGACCUGAUCCAGAGCAAGUGCAUAUCCAAGGACUACACCACAGAUCUCAUGACCAAGCUGCCUGGAUACCCAGGUAUGGGACCCCAUUUCAUCUGCUCAAUAAAGAGGGUUCUCAG
rnacentral:lncRNA from 1 species